GAUGAAGAACGUAGCGAAAUGCGAUACUUGGUGUGAAUUGCAGAAUCCCGUGAACCAUCGAGUCUUUGAACGCAAGUUGCGCCCGAAGCCACUAGGCCGAGGGCACGCCUGCCUGGGCGUCACACGUCGUUGCCCCCCACCAUCUACUCCUUCGGGAUUGCGGGGGGCGGAUGAUGGCCUCCCGUGCGCCUAGCCGCGCGGUUGGCAUAAAUACCAAGUCCUCGGCGACGCACGCCACGACAAUCGGUGGUUGCGAAACCUCGGUUGCCCGUCGUGUGCGUUCGUCGCGCAUCGAGGGCUCGAAAAAAUGCUCGGCUCCGGCUCGGCUUUCAACGCGACCCCAGGUCAGGCGGGGUUACCCGCUGAAUUUAAGCAUACAAUAGCGGAGGA
rnacentral:misc_RNA from 1 species